ACAAGGAAGCUUUAGGAAGCAGGGAUCUAUACCUGCAAUAACUUGAUGAUGCCCAGUUGCACACCGAGAUGGUAAGAACGAAUUUCGUUAGUUUCGAUUUUGUAAACUGAGCAAUUUGAAGUCUGAUGUCGUUUCUGUGAUUUCAGUUUGGCAGAACUUGACGGUAAUCGAAAUCUUAUCUCCUGUUUGGAACAUUUGUUUUAAUUUGGUGCUCAAGAUGUGUUGUUUCGUAUAGGAUCACUGGAUAUAUUACUAGGAGAGUAGGAGUGAUGCCCUAACCAAAGUAAAUGUAAAUCAGUUUAGCUUAGUUGAUUCGAAGUCAUAUUGGAGCUGUCUGAUCAUAUUUUAAAACGGUGAUGCUUAGUGUGAAAUUGAGAAGUCGAACUUUGAUUUUAUGUGUAGCGAAAGUCUGUGAUUUGCAUUGCAAGUGCACAACUGAAAGUUUGUGCUUCGCCUCUGAUGAACCAAAUGUUGGAAAUCUUGCUUCCUUAGUCUCUGAUAUAGAGUAUGCUUUAAUCAUCUAAUUGUGUGCUAUCUAACUUCAAAGGUGGGAUCGGAAUAUUGCAAUUACAGAAACCUUUGCUGAAUUUAGGUGAGCUGCGUGAGCACAUAACACACUUUGUUUGAUGCAUUCUUGUGGUGAAUUUCUUCAUUUGAACAUGAAAAUUCUCCUAUUUGAUUGCCUAUACUUCCCUGCAAUGCUGAUACUCAGUUACUCACUCAAAUCUUAUGCGCUACUCUUUAUCCAUAACUUACCGUUCAUGACAUGAGAAAAUUAUUAUCAGCAGCUAGCAAAAGCCUGCACAUAUAUGCCGUCGUAUUCAAUAAAAACAUUGCAAUGUUGCUGUGAAUGCUGUCUACAUGACCAACCAAGAAAUAUAUCCUGGUAGUGGAGUGUUCAUUUAAGAUCCAAAAAAUCCAGCAAGACUAAUGUGCUAGCCUAUGCAGCAACAGCAAGACUCAUGUUUAGGAAAGACAAACAACGGAUCUGCAGGAUGUUUGAUGCUCCAGACCAGCUACCCGAUGCUGAAACAAUAUCCUUUACACAGUCACCUAAGUGUUUACUGGGGUUUUUUAUGAAAGCCUGCAUCAAUAACCUGGUAUAAAGUUUUAUUCUCAUAACCGAGACACUAUAAAAUUGCCCUGGCCGUGAAGCCGAUCGAUAUGUAGUUACUCUUGAUAGUUGGCAGUAAGGCACAUUUUCCAGAUAAGUGCAGGAGACAUUGCUAACGCAAAGGACUGGAAGGGCAAGGCCUUUCUGACACUAGAAUCACCAAAAUACGGGGCAGAAAACCCAUCGCCAUCUUGGCUGUGCUGCCGGAGGCUCAUUUAGUCUGGUAAACAUAAACAGACAGCCAUAGCAAUGUGGGAGCUUGAUCGAGCGACUUCAAACCUUGUUAUAUCAUGUUGAAAUGCUUUUGCUAUCCGAAGUUGGUUUGAAUGGGACCCCAUGUCAUUGUUUUGACAGUGAGCAACAGGUCUCCGCAGUCUCAUCUCCUAUGCCUCAGAAGGCUGCUAUUCCCUUGGCACAAUUGCUGAACUAUACCGUAACGAGGUUUUCUGAUGGUCAUACCAUGUUAGUCUUUUCUUAUUUUCUUUUUCUGAGGGGAAGAUAUACCAGACAAUACUGAUUUAUAGAAAAAGGAAA